AGACUUUAAUGAGAAAAAAGAUUUGAAUAUGAUUUCAGAAAAUAAAUCGGUGGAGUUCUCAAUCAUUCAAUUUUUAUUGUUCAAGCUCAAAAUUAAUUUGAAAUCAAAUGAAUAAAUAAGUAAUCGAAUAAUCAAAAAUAAAUUAUAAAUAUAAGAAAGAACAUGCAUGAAUAUGAGAUGUACAAGCAAUUAAAGGAUGUUCAAAUGCAAUUAGGGCCCAAAGCCCAUUCCAAAAUUAAAAUAAACUUAUUAAAUAAUAAAA
rnacentral:lncRNA from 1 species